GUGGGUUAUGGCAAGAAUUUUCAUUAGAGUUCACUAGACCAAAUAUACAUUGGAAAUAAUAGUAACAAAUUAUCUUUACGUUUUCCUGUUCAUUUUAGGUAGAGUUACAAGUGCUGUAUCGGUAGUACGUAUUAUCCAUCAUCUGAAUGUUCUCAAAAUUGAUCAUCUGAAUGUUUUGAAUAGCUUAGGUUCUCUUCCAUAAGCUUGUUGGGUUAUCUUCUUGGAGGCUCUCACGUGCUGUGUUGGAGCAACUGUGUUGUGUUUGCUCCUAAGGGGAUGAGCUGUUUCGUUGAAAAGAUGAGAACAUUCGAUAGGAAUGCACUUCGUGAAUAUUACGUAAAACAAAGGGAGAGAGAAAAAAAAAAUAAAGGUUCAGAGUAAGUAACCAAGUCCCAAGCACAUAUAUAGCUUGACACCCCAUAUACCAUUGUAUAGAAGACCAGCGUGAUCAGACAGCAUACGGUGUACUGAGCAAGAUUGGCUAGUCGCCAAAUAAAUGACUAGUGUUUUGCUUGAAUUUGAUGGAAAAAAUAUUGUGAAGGGUGGGAUGAACUUCAUUCAAUCGUUCAUAAAAAGUACAUGACGACUAUAGAAUAGGGAAAGGGGUAUGAAAAAAAAUCACAAAACAAAACAUCUUGAUAUCUAAUUAUGCAGUGGCACAACACACAUUCUCCGGGGAUUUGGAACCAACCACACAGGGGCUGGAGAGUUGGACCAAAGCUGAGGGGAUACAAUUUCCGUGUUCCUGUUCUUUGCUAGGUCAAAUUCUCCAAUAUCACGCCUAUUAUUCUUGGAAAACUUAAUAUCAAGUUCAUCGUCAUCAGUAAAAUAGGCAUGAUUUGCCUUCAUUUGGGGAUAUUCUUUGGCACAAAGGCAAAGUGAUUGGUUAAGCCCAAUAAAAAGCACAUUCUUAUCCAAGGUAUUUACAUCCACAAGCUUUUUGUGAUGUAAGGUCCACUUUAUGUACUUUGAUCUUGUUGGUCAUCCUGAGUGGCGAAGGCUCAUGUUCU
rnacentral:lncRNA from 1 species